CUCUCUCUCUCUCUCUCUCUCUCCCUCCCUCCCUCCACUAGGUACAGGAGAUGAAUAUUUUUGUCACGACCCUGACUAAAACAGUUGUGAUUCACCAUUUUAUUGUGAUCAUUGCAAAAAUCCUAUUUAAUGUAAACGAGCAGAGGCUUCUCUUAAUGAUCAACAUCAACCGAUAAUAAGGUUGAAAUAUAUUUCUGUAAAAAACAAAAAAAAAAAACCAACAACUAUGAAUGACACAUGUGACCACUUUUUUGUCUUGUUUGACCAGGGCCAGCCCUAUACAUUUUGUUGCCUUUGGUCCCAAUACAAAAUUUGCAAAAAAAGGUAUUUUUUAUAAUAUUGUAUUUUAAUUGUUAUAUAUCUAGUUCUUAUAAUACAUUUAUGGGGCUAACCCAGAGCCAGCUCGAGGCAUAGGCCAUAUAGGCAGUUGCCUCGGGCACCAUCUACUGGAGGGAGGAAGAAAUAAUGAUAUACAUACAAAUACACAUAGAUAUACAGUAAAUGACUUAUUUCCAAACAAUAUCCAAAUCAUUCAAAACAAUCCUUGCUUUUCAAAAUGUCCUCAGUUCUUAAAAUGUCGUAACACGCUCACAAACAUGGAAGUAAAGGGCGUGAACACAGACAUACUGGUUUGUGCAACCGUUCUUCUUAGGAUAUCCAUUUAUUUGGACAGCGUAAACAAAGCCCAUCCCUAACCUUAACCAUCUCAUCUAAAUACCAUAAACCUUAAUCUAAACUAACCCUAACUCAAUCCUUUUUAAGGUGUGACAGACCGUGAGGACCAGUCAAACCCCACUGUCACAACAUGGUCAGUGUUUUAUAAGUCACAAAGACAUAUUAUUAGGUACACACACACACACAUACACACACACAGGCUGGCAGAGGAGGGGGGUGUGUCCUCCCAGUUGUCAGGAAACGAAAGUGAGACUGAACGCUCAUAUUCCUGCUGCCUCACUCAGAGAAAACAACUACUGCUGUGACGUCUGAACAGAAUUUUGACCCUGACGUGGAUUUGAACAUGCAACUGUGGAUACGAGGGCUCUGCUCUACUCAUUCACACAAUGCACCUUUACACCAAGUACAUUUCUGAAGAAUUUAUUAGGAUAUUACCCCCCAACAUCGCCAAACACCAAGGUCGACCCUGUAUUUCGUGCCGGCGGGGAAGCUCCUCUACAGAUCUCUCCUGUCAGAUGCACCUAAGAAAAGGAUAUUUCCAGGUAAACGUAAGUGCUAGCACAGACAGCUUUAGCUGUGUGUACCUCAGUUUUUAGUGAUUGUGAAUCUACCAAGUCUGCCAUUUGUAAAGCAAAUUAACAGGGAGCUGUUCAACUGCUGCCUCAUUUGGUAAGUUUGUGUCACUUUAUUAAAUCGACAGUAAAUUAAAGUCAUUAAAUUUAAUCACUGAAAUUGCAUAAUAACACAGAUGAACUUAGUGAUGGAAGCAGCAGAGAAUCUACUACUUUUGCCUGCUGUAACUUCCUCUGUGGGCUUUGAUUUGUGUCUAAUGGUGAGAUACAGAUGUGAGCAUAUUCUCAACAUAUCAUAGUCAUAAGCAGGUGUAGAUUUUAUUAAAUUAGCCUUUUGUUAAGUGGCUAUAAUCUGUAUUCCUUGUGUCCCGGCAGACAUCCAUGCUUUCAGUGAGCCUCCAUGUCUCGGGUUUGUUCCUGGCAAGAGAAGCACGUUUGGGACGGACUUGGUGAAGUCAGCAUUGGCUAUGUGUCUGUACCUCAUUCAACCACACUGAACUAUCCUUUAAAUCAGAGCAGAAAACGAUGUCACACCCAAGCCAAGUGCUUUCCAUUUUCACAGAAACCUCACUGGUAGACCUACUUAAUGUUAGCAUUUUAGCUAGGUUUGCUUGUUAGCAAUGAUUACCUUCAAAAACCUUCAAAAAUGACCACAAUAAAUCACCAGAGAAAACAUGUUGAAUUUAAAUUGUAUACAUUUUAUAAAUUUUUUAUGUACUUUCUUGUGUUUUCUUUUUAAAGGCUAAAGUAAACAAGUUAAUAUUGCUACAUGUGGAAACUAGAUAAGUAACAGAAUCUUUUUUCUUUUGGAUGUUUGGCUUCGCUGGGGUGAUAAAACUUGUUGUGAUGAUUCUUCUCUUGAUUUAUUAAAGACCCCAUUAAACACAGCUUAACAGGUGCUCUAUGGUGAUGUAAGGAAUAUUAAAUUAUGUGCAAUAACCAACUUAUGUAUAAUAACUAAAAGUACAACCAUCUCAUCCAUUCAGCACUGUAUAGAGUGUACAUCUCUAUAUAUUGUAUUAUGUUGACAUUUUAUAUUGUGUUACAUGUGUUUAAGUUUACUUAGCUUUAUGUUUACUCUUGUUCAUUCUUUAUUAUUCUUAUACAUUAUAUUUCAAUCCUUGUUUCAUGUUCUUUGAAGAGUAGCGGCUGUAACACAAGAAUUUUCCCUCAGGGAUCAAUAAAGUAUGAUUCUGAUUAUGAAAUAAAGGUUUAUAAAAGACUG